UACGAAGGUGGCUAGCGUUGUUCGGAUUUAUUGGGCGUAAAGGGUCCGCAGGCGGUUUGAUAAGUCAGGUGUGAAAUCCAACAGCUUAACUGUUGACACGCAUUUGAUACUGUCAGACUAGAGUAUGAGAGGGGUGAGAGGAAUUUCCAGUGUAGGGGUGAAAUCCGUAGAUAUUGGAAAGAACACCGGCCGCGAAGGCGUUUCACUGGCUCAUUACUGACGCUCAGGGACGAAAGCUAGGGGAGCAAACAGG
rnacentral:rRNA from 1 species